ensembl:lncRNA
CAACCACCACUGCUGUCAUGUGAUGAGUCGGCCUCUGUCUGUGUCAGCCAUGGUUGAAAGAAAGCUCAGAUUCACUCACAGAUACAUCACUAUGCAAAGAGUCAAAGCUCUCCCCUUGAUCCUUUGCAGAGUAGAGGAAUAUAUAUAUUUCUGCUCUGCUCUGUUACUUUGGCUCACAUCCCUAAACUCCUGUCAGACAUCUACUCAUCCACAGCCCUCUCACCAGGGGUGGGAUAAGAUGUCCAAACUCUCCUCGACCUCCAACCCCCUCCUGCAUGUUUCGGUCAGGCCCUUCAGCGCUGCCCUGGUCCUCCUGAGAGAGUUUUGCUGCCGAUGCAAACAUUGACAAACUGCACAUCUCACUGCCCUCCUGUUAAGAUAACACAAUUAGCAUGUGGACCCACCGCUCCGUCAAAUCUCACCCUCAAUACCAAUUAACACGUAACACAUCACAGAGUAACACUAAUUCUGAGAAGAAGGUUGAUAAGGUUCUUAUUUCCUUCAAGAUGCAACUCUCCUUUUCGCCUAUUUUGGCAAAAGGCUAAGUUAAAACCAGGUUUAGCUUGACAAAUAAUGAAGUUUUCAUCUAUACCACAAAGUAAAAUGUGUAGUUAGGUGUCAAUUCUGUAUCUCUCAUUUGAAGAAAGACACUAACUAUAACAUAUGAAAUGAAUGAUAUCCAAUUAACUUACUUUAUUAAGGUAAUUACUGAUAUGCAUAAUAGUCUAAUAUGCCUAUUUUAAUUAUGCUUGCAAGGGAAUAAUUUAACAUUGUAAUAAUUAGGCACAUUUUAAUUAGUGAGAUUAUUGUAUACAUAAUGAGGUGUACCACUUUUAUUCACUUAGAAAUAUGAAGAUAUUUGACAAUAGCUUUGAAAAUCACUAUGGAAAAAGAUACAACAUUACACAUUCACAUAAUUCAAAUCAAAUAAAAUAUGUAGUCAUAUGUAGUAAUGGGGAAUU